GACUACUGGGGUAUCUAAUCCCGUUUGCUCCCCACGCUUUCGGGUCUCAGCGUCAGAACAGGCCCAGUCACCCGCUUUCGCCACAGGCGUUCCCUUAGAUAUCUACGCAUUUCACCGCUCCACCUAAGGUUCCAGUGACCCCUACCUGCCUCAAGAACGGCAGUAUACCAAGCAGUUCCCGGGUUGAGACCGGGGAUUUCACUCAGUACUUACCGCUCCGCCUACACCCGCUCUAAGCCCAGUGAAUCCGAACAACACUUGGGGUCUCCGUAUUACCGCGGCUGCUGGCACGGAGUUAGCCACCCCUUUCGUUUGAUGGUCAACUGGGGACGUAUUAGGUCCCUUUGCUUCCUGUUAAACUAUUGGAGUUUACAUCCCGAGGGACUUCAUCCUCCACGCGGCGUCGCUCCGUCAGGCUUUCGCCCAUUGCGGAAUAUUCCUUACUGCAGCCCCCCGUAGG
rnacentral:rRNA from 1 species